UCGACCAAUCAGAGCGCAGGAGAAAAUUCUCUGCGCUUCUGCACAUGGAAAGACCUGUCGUCAGAUGAAAAUAUCAAGAAAGAAGUGGAAAUACAACGGGAUGUAAUGAGGAAUGAUUACGCAAACGUCAUGUUCCCAGGUGGGGGCUUUCCCGGAACCGUCACAACACUGUACUGUACAGCUUCCCAACACCUCCAUCUUAAUUAAAAACACAAAAAUACAACAGUGCGAAACGUUUCGAUCAAGCUGAUCAUCCGUGAACUGUCUGGGAGAAAAUGUUAAUGUUUUAAUAAAAUGAAAAGAAAAUUCUAUUU